CCCCACCCCCCCAGGUUAUAGAUGGUCCUUGACUUACAACAGUUUGACUUACUGAUUUUUUUGACUUUACAAUGGUGUGACAGCAACACACAUUCAGCAGAAACAGUUUUUGCAUUUUGAUCUUCUGGGCUAGUGAUUUGAGGCUGCGCGGUGGGUACCCCGCAGCUAGCUCCCAGUCAGCCACACAGCCUUGAAGGCGAACGGCAAUUCUGUAUCCACACAACCGUUCUGUGUUGCACCGUAUCAGUAGUGUAUUCAAUAAGCCACAUGAGGUACUCAGCACUAUUAUAAAAUGGGCUUUAUGUUAGAUGUUUUUGCCCAGCUGUAGGCUAAUGUAAGUGUUCCGAGCACAUUUAAGGUUGGUUAAGUGUAUUAAUUGCAUUUUUGAUUUAGGGCAUUUUCAACUGAAUGAUGGGUUUAUCGAUUUGUAACCCCAUUGUAAGUCUAGGAAGAUCUGUACUUUGUUAGUACCAUGGUUAGGAGGUCAGUAUCUGUAUCCACAGCCCGGGGAUGUUUAUGACCUGUAAAAUGAGAACAUCUCAGCGUGCUUAGCAUGAUGCCAGGUCAAUGGAUGACAGCUACAAUGAUCCACGCUGCAGUUUCCUGAAGCUUCAGGAUGCAAUGGCAUUCACGUAAGGAAGCCUCCUCCCAUCUUGUGCUAGACAAGGAGGCUCUUUAUAAAGAGCUCACUGCGGGUUGGUUUUCCCUCUUGAGGAAUCAUUCCGGUUUUUACUCCGCCUUGAUGGGCUUCUCAGGCUGUCAUGGUCUUGCUCUGUCGGCAGGGGGCAGCAACCACCAGAAAGCGGGCCAGGCGCGAUCUGGGUCUUAAGUGCUGCACGCAAUUACAGAAAAGCUGAAUCCCGUCAAGAGACCAAGCGACACUCAGAGGGUUGGAGAACUCAGGUUUAUUUACACCGGCGGGCCCAGAGGAGUUAAUAUUCCCGGCUCUGGACCCUGAUUGCAAGUUUGUAUGAGCUUUUACAGGGUUUUAGGAACAAAGAAAUCACGUGGUCUUAGGUUUUUCUGCGGGGUGGGAAGGGGUUAGUUUCGGUUUCCCUAAAGCAGGCUGUUUUACAGAAGCAUAAAAGCAAAGCACUAAGCAAUUUCUCUGUCUGGGAGGCCCUGCUGAUCCUUGUGGGCCUUUUGAGCUCCAGUUCCCCGGCCCUCCAGCCAGGUCUGAAUCAAUGCCCCCACCUAAGUUCCUCAAAGCGCUUUUGACUUAUUGGGGUCAAUCCUGAUUCCAUCUCCCUCAACAGUCAACAUGGUGCAGUAGGCAUUGUGACUCCAUGUCACUCAGUAGAGUGACUGUAUGUCAUGUAUGAUCUAAACUGGGGCACUCCAGUGUGAAGGGGGUAGACGUAACGCAGGAUUGAAAAGCACCUGAUCGCGCUGUCCAGAGAGGGCAUCACUGCCCUGCCCUGCCACGAGGCUCUGUGCGCACGUUGAAUGAGCCCACACAGCUCCUCUGUGCUUUGGUGUUCCAGUCUGCAAGAAGAGAGGCUGAACUGGGUAGAUAAUUUCUGAGGUUGUCUAAACCAAAAUCACUAAAAUUAUAUGGUUAGUGGGGAAGGCUGGGGCCCGUCAGAGGGGUUUUGGUGGAGAAUGUGAGACAGUGGGGGGGUUCGAAGUCAGAGCAUGAGAACUUCCAGGCUGGGGUUGAUUAGGGCAGUGGAGGACAGCUGGACAUUGCUGCUUUGGCUGUGAGGUGAUGACUGUCCACUGUGGUGGAGGAACUUGCAGUGCUGGGCGGUGGUGUGUCCUUCCCCACAGCCGGCAGGUGGCGCUCACAGCACAGCAGGGAUAAACCAGCUGACAUACAUCACCGUAGUUGGGGGAGGGGGUGUCAAGAUGAGUUUCUUUCCCAUUUAGGAUAGAGGAACGUUGUGAUCUAGGAUAGAAUGGCGAUUGGGGCCGUGGAGUUUGGCAAGAGGAGACGCUCCUUCCACAGCUGCGGCUUCAUCUCACAGGCCUGCGCUGCCCUCUUCCUUUUCCUCUGCUUGUGACUUCUGUGAUAACAGGCAGAAGGGCAGGGGCUGCUCCACGUCCACCAGGAGGGGAUUUCAGCCGCGCCUUCUUUGGAGCUCACAGGAAACAUCCUGAUCAGACCUGCCUGUGGAUGGCUGCAAGAAACAAGAAAUUAACACAUCCCCUCUGCAGUCUGAGUCUGGCCAGAACCAGGAAAUACUUGCAACAAUUUAUCGUCUUUUUACUUUACCUCUUCACCUCCCCCGUAUUUGUUCUAUAAAAGAAACUAGCAUCCAAACGUGGGCAAGAUGGUUCUUUGGGACACUAGUCCACCAUCUUCUCGGUCGGCUGCUUUCCCAAAUGAACUCACUGUUCCUUGCCCCAACAACUUGUCUCUUGAUUUAUUGGCCUGUCAUGCAGCAGGCAGUAAGAACUUGGACUCAGUAACAUUUCAAGUCACAAUUCAAGUCCCCUACCCUGCUAUGCCCCUUUUCAUGUUUAUAAUGGGAGCCAGGAAACACUUUCUGGCCCUGUGAAUUAGUGAGUGGGGAAAAAUGCUUUGGAACUAGUAGUAGAAGCUUUGGGGUGACAUUUUCCCUCUUUUACUCAUCUCCUCUCACAUCCCCGUGGCAGUUGGGUGCAGAGACUCAACUCAUAUUAAGGAACAGUCUCGGAAGCAUCCUCAUGGGGGGCCCAGAUUCCAGCCUGCACUGUCCCUGUAACCUUGGUCUCCGAGGGUUUCCUCGCAGGGUUGCUGAGGGUGGUGCAAGAUCAUGCACAGUGCCCUGCACGUCAGGCCCUGCAGCCCUGCCCCUUCUCACCUGACCCUUGGCUGUACACCUUUAUUUGACUCAUCCACUUCUCAGGUGAACAAACGUGGGCCUUGAGAUGACACCUCACUCCUGGCCCCAUACGUGAUGAAUUCUGUCUCCACUUCUUGAACUAAACUAAAAAGCUAGGACUCAGGGAUAGGAUCCUCAUGGUUGGCCUGGUGGUUUCUUCACACACGACAACCACCUCUUUAUUCUCCCUCCAGGCCCCAAGCAGUAGGAUUUCCACAGACCAAGGGUCCGUGCCCUCAUCUGACUCUCACUUAUUCCAAGCCCCAGGCUCAGACCAGCCCUGCACGUCUGCACUCCUGGAUCACGAGCUCCCUGGGAAAUGAUGGGUGGGAGUGCGGUGGCAGCAGCUGC